rnacentral:rRNA from 1 species
UACGGGGGGAGCAAGCGUUGUUCGGAUUUACUGGGCGUAAAGGGCGCGUAGGCGGCCACCGCAAGUCGAUUGUGAAAUCUCCGGGCUUAACCCGGAAAGGUCAACCGAUACUGCGGGGCUAGAGUGCAGAAGGGGCAACUGGAAUUCUCGGUGUAGCGGUGAAAUGCGUAGAUAUCGAGAGGAACACCUGCGGCGAAGGCGGGUCUCUGGACAGUUCCUGACGCUGAGGCACGAAGGUCAGGGGAGCAAACGGG